AUAGCGUAUAUUAAAGUUGUUGCAGUUAAAAAGCUCGUAGUUGAAACUUGGGCCUGGCUGGCCGGUCCGCUUCACCGCGUGCAUUGGUCCGGCCGGGUCUUUCCUUCUGGGGAGCCGCAUGCCCUUCACUGGGUGUGCUGGGGAACCAGGACUUUUACUUUGAAAAAAUUAGAGUGUUCAAAGCAGGCCUAUGCUCGAAUACAUUAGCAUGGAAUAAUAGAAUAGGACGUGUGGUUCUAUUUUGUUGGUUUCUAGGACCGCCGUAAUGAUUAAUAGGGACAGUCGGGGGCAUCAGUAUUCAAUUGUCAGAGGUGAAAUUCUUGGAUCUAUUGAAGACUAACUACUG
rnacentral:rRNA from 1 species